rnacentral:rRNA from 1 species
UACGGAGGGUGCAAGCGUUAAUCGGAAUUACUGGGCGUAAAGCGCACGUAGGUGGCUGCUUACGUCGGAUGUGAAAGCCCUGGGCUCAACCUGGGAAUUGCAUUUGAUACUGAGCGGCUAGAGUACGAUCGAGGGAGGUAGAAUUCCACGUGUAGUGGUGAAAUGCGUAGAUAUGUGGAGGAAUACCGGUGGCGAAGGCGGCCUCCUGGAUUGAUACUGACACUGAGGUGCGAAAGCGUGGGGAGCAAACAGG